rnacentral:rRNA from 1 species
AGAGUUUGAUCCUGGCUCAGGAUGAACGCUGGCGGCGUGCUUAACACAUGCAAGUCGAACGGGAAACCUUUUAUUGAAGCUUCGACAGAUUUAGCUGGUUUCUAGUGGCGGACGGGUGAGUAACGCGUGGGUAACCUGCCUUAUACAGGGGGAUAACAACCAGAAAUGGUUGCUAAUACCGCAUAAGCGCACAGGACCGCAUGGUCCAGUGUGAAAAACUCCGGUGGUAUAAGAUGGACCCGCGUUGGAUUAGCUAGUUGGCAGGGUAACGGCCUACCAAGGCGACGAUCCAUAGCCGGCCUGAGAGGGUGAACGGCCACAUUGGGACUGAGACACGGCCCAGACUCCUACGGGAGGCAGCAGUGGGGAAUAUUGCACAAUGGGGGAAACCCUGAUGCAGCGACGCCGCGUGAAGGAAGAAGUAUCUCGGUAUGUAAACUUCUAUCAGCAGGGAAGAUAGUGACGGUACCUGACUAAGAAGCCCCGGCUAACUACGUGCCAGCAGCCGCGGUAAUACGUAGGGGGCAAGCGUUAUCCGGAUUUACUGGGUGUAAAGGGAGCGUAGACGGACUGGCAAGUCUGAUGUGAAAGGCGGGGGCUCAACCCCUGGACUGCAUUGGAAACUGUUAGUCUUGAGUGCCGGAGAGGUAAGCGGAAUUCCUAGUGUAGCGGUGAAAUGCGUAGAUAUUAGGAAAAACACCAGUGGCGAAGGCGGCUUACUGGACGGUAACUGACGUUGAGGCUCGAAAGCGUGGGGAGCAAACAGAAUUAGAUACCCUGGUAGUCCACGCCGUAAACGA